rnacentral:rRNA from 1 species
CCUACGGGAGGCUGCAGUGGGGAAUAUUGCACAAUGGGGGAAACCCUGAUGCAGCGACGCCGCGUGAGUGAAGAAGUCUUUCGGUAUGUAAAGCUCUAUCAGCAGGGAAGAAAAUGACGGUACCUGAUUAAGAAUCCCCGGCUAACUACGUGCCAGCAGCCGCGGUCAUACGUAGGGGGCAAGCGUUAUCCGGAUUUACUGGGUGGAAAGGGAGCGUAGACGGCAGCACAAGUCUGGAGUGAAAUGCCGGGGCUUAACCCCGGAACUGCUUUGGAAACUGUGCAGCUAGAGUGCAGGAGAGGUAAGUGGAAUUCCUGGUGUAGCGGUGAAAUGCGUAGAUAUUAGGAGGAACACCAGUGGCGAAGGCGGCCUGCUGGGCUUUUAUUGACGCUGAGGCUCGAAAGUGUGGGGAGCAAACAGGAUUAGAUACCCCUGUAGUC